GUGUUGUUUUUGUUGUUGGGUUUGCCUUCAGUGUUGAUUUGCUAAGUGUUGAUUUGCUAACUUGAUGGUCUACAUUGCUUUAUGCUUUGUGUAAGAAAGUGCAAAAUAUUUGAUAUUUGAUACAAAAGAUGCUUGAGAAGAGAUCAGAACAAACAAUUACUGCCCAUCACGUCCUGUGUCAUCCAUGGAUUGUAGAUGAUAGAGUUGCUCCAUACAAGCCCCUAGACUCUGCAGUUAUAUCACGCCUCAAGCACUUCUCAACCAUGAUGAAACUUGAGAAGAUGGCUUUACAAAGGCUAUCAUAAGAGGAGAUUGGUGGGUUGAAGCAAUUAUAAAAAGUGAUCGACACGAACAACAGUGGCACCAGGGAGAAUUUCUUGGUGCUCCUUUGUCUAGAAUUAAUUGUUUAGAUAUUUUAUGUUAACAAUAUUGGAAUGUAGCAAUUUUUUUUCAUUUGUGCAUUCAGACACGGGGGUGAGAACUGUGGCUAUAGGUCUCAAAACUGACCAAAUAGGUGACGUUAGAUGCUGGACAGGCGUAUCUGACAUUCAAAGAAGCUAUUCAUGGCAAAUUGGUAGGAUGGUCCCACCUCCAGUGGCGGUGACGAUGUAAGUGGCCAACACUAUUCAGUUUGGCUAUCCGGAAUCCGCUUUUUUGGCUAUUCAGAAGUGCAUCAACAUUGAGAUUCUAAUGAAGGCAUUGGCUUUCUCUCUAUUCUGUCUCAAAAAACAAUAAUCACUCACAGCGAUUGUAUAUUUCUAAAAGGAAAAGUGUUUAAUUAAAAUAUUGGGUUGUUUUGUUAAAAAAAAGUAUAGUAUGUUGUGUGAAGGUAA